AUUGAACGCUGGCGGCAUGCCUUACACAUGCAAGUCGAGCGGUAACGGGCCUUCGGGUGCCGACGAGUGGCGAACGGGUGAGUAAUGCAUCGGAACGUACCUUUCAGUGGGGGAUAACGUAGCGAAAGUUACGCUAAUACCGCAUAUUCUGUGAGCAGGAAAGCAGGGGAUCGCAAGACCUUGCGCUGAUUGAGCGGCCGAUGUCAGAUUAGCUAGUUGGUGAGGUAAAGGCUCACCAAGGCGACGAUCUGUAGCGGGUCUGAGAGGAUGAUCCGCCACACUGGGACUGAGACACGGCCCAGACUCCUACGGGAGGCAGCAGUGGGGAAUUUUGGACAAUGGGGGCAACCCUGAUCCAGCCAUGCCGCGUGAGUGAAGAAGGCCUUCGGGUUGUAAAGCUCUUUCGGCCGGGAAGAAAUCGCACGGGCUAAUACCUUGUGUGGAUGACGGUACCGGAAUAAGAAGCACCGGCUAACUACGUGCCAGCAGCCGCCGUAAGAC
rnacentral:rRNA from 1 species